rnacentral:tRNA from 1 species
GUUGGUGUAGCUCAGUGGUAGUGUGCAUGCUUUGUGUGUAUGAUGUCCUGGGUUCAAUCCCCAGCUUCUCA